UUUCUGAUGGUUCAGUGACUAAGACUCCAUGCUUCCAAUGCAGGGGGCCCAGGUUCAAUUCCUGGUCAGGGAA
rnacentral:tRNA from 1 species